rnacentral:rRNA from 2 species
CUGCGGCAGCGACACUGUGUGUUGUUGGGUAGGGGAGCGUUCUGUAAGCCUGUGAAGGUGUGUCGUGAGGCAUGCUGGAGGUAUCAGAAGUGCGAAUGCUGACAUAAGUAACGAUAAAGCGGGUGAAAAGCCCGCUCGCCGGAAGACCAAGGGUUCCUGUCCAACGUUAAUCGGGGCAGGGUGAGUCGACCCCUAAGGCGAGGCCGAAAGGCGUAGUCGAUGGGAAACGGGUUAAUAUUCCCGUACUUGGUGUUACUGCGAAGGGGGGACGGAGAAGGCUAUGUUGGCCGGGCGACGGUUGUCCCGGUUUAAGCGUGUAGGUGUGUGUUCCAGGUAAAUCCGGUUCACUUUAACACUGAGGCGUGACGACGAGGCACUACGGUGCUGAAGCAACAAAUGCCCUGCUUCCAGGAAAAGCCUCUAAGCAUCAGGUAACAUCAAAUCGUACCCCAAACCGACACAGGUGGUCAGGUAGAGAAUACCAAGGCGCUUGAGAGAACUCGGGUGAAGGAACUAGGCAAAAUGGUGCCGUAACUUCGGGAGAAGGCACGCUGACACGUAGGUGAAGUGAUUUACUCAUGGAGCUGAAGUCAGUCGAAGAUACCAGCUGGCUGCAACUGUUUAUUAAAAACACAGCACUGUGCAAACACGAAAGUGGACGUAUACGGUGUGACGCCUGCCCGGUGCCGGAAGGUUAAUUGAUGGGGUCAGCGCAAGCGAAGCUCCUGAUCGAAGCCCCGGUAAACGGCGGCCGUAACUAUAACGGUCCUAAGGUAGCGAAAUUCCUUGUCGGGUAAGUUCCGACCUGCACGAAUGGCGUAAUGAUGGCCAGGCUGUCUCCACCCGAGACUCAGUGAAAUUGAACUCGCUGUGAAGAUGCAGUGUACCCGCGGCAAGACGGAAAGACCCCGUGAACCUUUACUAUAGCUUGACACUGAACAUUGAGCCUUGAUGUGUAG